CGAGAAUCUUUCACAAUGGGGGCAACCCUGAUGGAGCGACGCCGCGUGGAGGAUAAGGUCUUCGGAUUGUAAACUCCUGUCAUGUGUGAACAAGGUUGUCGUGUUAAUAGCAUGGCAAAUUGAUGGUAACACAAGAGGAAGAGACGGCUAACUCUGUGCCAGCAGCCGCGGUAAUACAGAGGUCUCAAGCGUUGUUCGGAAUCACUGGGCGUAAAGGGUGCGUAGGUGGCGUGGCAAGUCAGAUGUGAAAGCCCGGGGCUCAACCUCGGAAUUGCAUCCGAUACUGCCAUGCUGGAGUACUGAAGAGGUGACUAGAAUUCUAGGUGUAGCAGUGAAAUGCGCAGAUAUCUAGAGGAAUACCAACGGCGAAGGCAGGUCACUGGGCAGUUACUGACACUGAGGCACGAAGGCCAGGGGAGCAAACG
rnacentral:rRNA from 1 species